AGAAUCAACGCUGGCGGCGUGCCUCAGACAUGCAAGUCGAACGCGAAAGUCCCCCUUCGGGGGACAAGUAGAGUGGCGCACGGGUGAGUAACACGUAGGUAAUCUACCUUCGGAUGGGGAAUAACAACCGGAAACGGUUGCUAAUACCGCAUAAUGCAGCGGCACCUAAUGGUGACAGUUGUUAAAGCGGGGGAUCGAAAGACCUCGCGUCUGAAGAGGAGCCUGCGGCGGAUUAGCUAGUGGUAAGGUAUGGCUUACCAAGGCAACGAUCCGUAACCGCCUGAGAGGGCGUCGGUCACGACUGACACUGACAUACGGCAGACUCCGUAGGGAGCCAGCAGUCGGGAAUUUGGGCAAGUUGGG
rnacentral:rRNA from 1 species